GCGGGUAUGGCGUAAUUGGUAGCCGCGCCAGAUUUAGGAUCUGGUGCCGAAAGGCGUGGGGGUUCGAGUCCCUUUACCCGCA
rnacentral:tRNA from 1 species